rnacentral:rRNA from 1 species
UUAAAAAGCUCGUAGUUGGAUUUCUGUGGUGGUCAGUCGGCCGGCUCCUCGGAGUUGUAGCUAGAUUUGAUUGCCGCAUCUUGUCGUAAUUCUCACUGGCAUUAAUUUGUUGGUGUAGAGGACCGACUCGUUUACUUUGAGAAAAUUAGAGUGUUCAAAGCGGGCUAUCGCCUUGAAUAUGUAGCAUGGAAUAAUGAUAUAGGACUUUUGGUUCUAUUUUGUUGGUUGUUCG